ACUGGUUUUAUUCGAGGACCGCCUUACAGAACAUCCAAACACCGGCAGGCACGGACGAAGAAGCGAGUCAUCACGGUCGACCAGAUAACGGAAACAGAAAUACGUUUCUUUAAACAUUGCUUCGGUUUUACAAAUGUGGAAUGGUAUCCUCUCAACCAACAAAGUUCACAGUGAUAUAAAGGACUAAUAGGGAGUCAAACCUAAUGGACAAGUUAUUCAGAGGGAUGCCAGAAAGAGGUAGUCGAGGUGGAGCGAACCCCCUUGCUCACAGACGAGGUGCCGAUGGUGGUCAGAGAGUAGUUGAAGGGGGCGGGGAGAGAGGAGGUGUUAGUGGGAGCGACCCGAGGAAGGACAGAAAAAUACGAGGUGAUGGUGCAGGCGGAGGAAGCAGAGGAGCAGGGGAGGGUGGGAGGGGUAGUGGUGAAAGAGGAGGAGGCAGAGGAGCAAGAGAGGGUGGAAGGGGUAGUGGUGAAAGAGGAGGUGGCAGAGGAGGAAGAGAGAGAGCGGGAGACAAAGAAGUAAAUGGGCUAGGAGGAAGACACAGAGGAGAAAGAGGAGAAGAGGGAGGAGGAGUUAGUGGAGAGGGGGGGCGCAGAGGAAGGA